GUGGGAGGUCUCGGCAGCUCCCCAUGGCCUCUCCUGGGGAUUCCUCACCACAGGGCUUCGAGAGUGCGGGGCGGCUGCCGUAACCCAUGACCUAGUCUGAGAAUCCACAACCAUCUCUUCUGCACGUCCUCUUCAUCAGAAGCAGGACCCCAAGUACGGCCCACGCUCGGGAGGGGACUGGGCCGUGUCCUCUGAAGGGAGAGGUCAGAGAAUGGGGACGCCCCUGAGGCGGGCACUCCUGCUGCUGGGUCUCGCUGUCCUGCCGGGCAGCUCGGGGCUGCGGGGGGUAAGGGCCUGCGUCUGGGGCGCCUCCUGUGCCAGGCUGCGGUGGACGUCGACACUUACAGGUGAAGGGGAGCGUGUUGGGCUGCGAGGGCCCCUUUCACAGGUGGACAGCUUGAGGCUGGAGAGGGUGGCCCUUGCUGGCUCCCGUCCACCGUCCAGCCCACCCUCUCGCCCUGGUCUGCGGGCCUGUGCCCAGCAGCGCCUUCCCACCGGCCUGGGCAGCUGGGUCCUGGGGUUGGCCUGGGACCAAACUGGGCCACAGGAGAAACGCAGCCCUGCAGGCACACUUCAGACUCCCACCUCCAGAGUUUGAGCCACCGAGUUUGUCGCACUUCAUUGCAGCGGCCACAGAGGACUCGCACCGAGGCCCCACUGGGACCGAAGCCAGCUCUGCCUGUCUCAGUGCCAGGCUCCACCACCUGCCCGUGCUGAAGCUCGGGGCCUGGGUGCUCCUGCACCGGGUGGGCUGGGCGGGGGCAGGGUACGCUCCCUGGAGGGCAGGCUCUGGUCCCGGCUGCUGGCCUGGCUGGGGUGGGCGGGGCCGUGGCCGGGGGCCGCAGGAAGCCUCUGCGUUGCCCGCUGGGGCUGCCGUGGACUGGAGCAGCACCCUCCCCAGCCGGGCACCAGGCGGGCACAGACCCGGGCUUGUGGGGCUCGUGAAAGCACGCCUGUGUGCGCCAGAGACGACAAGCUGAGCGAUUGUUCCUGCCCCACCGCGGCCCCCGGGCCAGUGCCAGGGGCGCUGUGCAGGCCGGGCGCCGAGGGCCCUGGCUCCUCAGCUGCCCUGAGCUGGACGGGGCACCGGUCCUGCCCUGCGGCAGCUUCUGGGAGGGGUUGGGCGUGGCCGGCGACCCCAGGAGGGCGGGGGGAGGGGCUGCUCACUCCCUUCCCAGGCCGGGGCACUGAGUCGGCCCCGUAAAUAUGUGAGUACAUAAGAAAGUGAAUAACCUGGGGGUCGGAGGGGGACAUUUUGGGAGAUCCCGGCUGGGGCUUGCACAGGCCAAAGAGAGACCUCGACCGAAGGCUCACGCUGCACAGAGCCAGCUGGGCAGGCUGGCAGCCGAGCCGUCGUCAGAGGCAAUGCUCAGAGCUCCACUCGUGAGGGGAGCUCCUGAGAAUUAAAAACGUCGCCCAGCAAAGGGCCCUGUGGAGAAGGUGACGACCGUGGGGACGUCGUCAAGCGUGUGUCCCACGAAGGCGCGUCUCACACGGGGAGCCCUCGGAGCCCGACGAGGACACGGACGGGCCGGCACGGGAGGCCGCACGGUGGCUCGGACGUGCGCGUCCUCGGCCGCGAGGGAACGCGAACCACAGCCGGGGAGACGCCGGCCGCGCCCGCGAGGACGGCCGUGAUGACCGACGGUGACAGCGCUCAGUGCUGGCGAGGAUGCAGUGGGGGCCGGCGGCAGACGGCAGCCCCGCGAAGGCAGCGGCUGCCGUGCAAACAAAACCGAGCAGAACGUGCGGCCACCAUCCCACCAGCUGUCACGGGCGGGCGCGCGGCCCCGGGGUGUGGGGACACGCGCACACGACGCCCGUGCACAAGGGGGGGUGGCCGCUUCACCUGCUGAGCCCGAGCUGGAGACACCCAGACGCCGUGAGUGUGGGGCCAUGCACCACAGGACACUGCUCAGCCACACAAGGAGCCGUCCAUCACCCGGCUGGGCGGCGGAGUCAGCGGGCGGCAGUGACUCACCCAGAGGUCAGGCAUUUCCCAGCUGGCCCCCGGCGGCCAGGCCCCACUGCAUGGGCCUGGGGAAGGGCGACGCCUUGUCCGGGAGCCCCUCAGCACUGGCCUGCUGGUCAGGCGGAUUCGGGGGUCCUGGGCCCUGCUGUCCAGAGCCUUCCCAUGGCCACCGCUGGCCACAGGGCCUCUGUUCUUGAGACUCAGCUCCAGACCGGCCCCCGAGGUCUGCCCCAGCCUCGGCAGACGGCAGCUCAUCCCGCGCCUCCAGGCAGCCUUUCCUAUGUCACCAACCUCAUUGACCUCUUGGCCUCUCCUGCCUCCCGGGCUGUGAGCGACUUGGGAAGCUGUGACUGAGCUCCAGUCGGGCAGGGCUCCAAGGCCAGGGAGGCUUCCUCCUAGCCUCCUAGAAUCCGGACUCUUCUAGAGCCUCUCCUGGGCCUGGAGACCUAGAACCCGGGGCACGCCUGGGGGCCACCAAGGUGCUCAGAGCCUUUUCAUGGGCGUCGCUGGCCCGAGGCGGAGCUUGCGUGUGUGCUGCGGAUUUCUCAGUCUACGUGUGGGACUUGCGGCCGUGUAGAAGGCCACGGGGUCUGUCUUGGCUGCUCCGAGCAGGGGCUUCGCGCCAGCUCCAUAUUGUGUCUGCCUCCAGGCCAGAGCCCUGUGUCGCUCCACUGGAGACGUCCCUGUCAGCCUCCGCGGUCAGGCUUUCCUUGCCUUCUGCAGCCGGAGAACCCCGGCUGGUAUGCUCCAGGACGCCCUGGACGACGGGCCUGGCAGACCCUGCACUCCUGCGCCGUGCCCGACCGGGGUGGGGUCGGCAUCUGGCGGGCCGGCCGAGGCACGACCCCGGGCUCGGUAACCUAACGGGCCUCGCGACCCGGUCCUGUUCCUCGAGUGCUAUGCCACCACAAGUCCCUUCUCUUCUCUGGGCCUCGACUGGCUCGUCCAAGGGGUGGGACUAGUGACACCACCUGCGCCCAGGUGUGCCGGUGAAGCGGGGUGCGGGCACGGGGGCGGGCAGGCCGGGAGCACUUGCUCGUGCGAUUCUAACCACGUCAGCAUGCGUGAGGGUUACCCGCCCUGCCCCGGGCACGCGAGAGACAGGCCCAUGUGUCCGCACCCUUUCCUGCAGAUGGCCUGGCGUCUGGGCUGCAGGGUGGCCUCGUCCCUGCCCCCAGCCUGGAACGCUCCCCUCCCCGUCCCCGCCCUUCCUGCUGCUCAUUGGGCCGAGCGGCUCCCUGGGGCUGGUCUCUGAGUGUGCCAAUGAGGGGCGCCCAGGCGCUGCCAGGGGCCCCCAUUCUGCAGAGGUGACACAUACGUCCUUGGUCCCUGCAGCUUGCCCUCGCCGUGGUUUGCAGUCGCCUGUAACAUCACUGUGAAACCUCGAGACAUAAAGAGCCAGCUGCGUUCUGCGGCACAGGGACCUCGUCGGCUUGUGCACAGCUGUCCCCCGGCUCCAUAUGCACAAUCGGGACCCAAACGUUUGUCGAAUGAAUGCAUGAUGGACUCUAAGCCCCCAGAAAACCUCGCGGGGACAACUUGGAUCAGAAGGCAUUGAGCUGCUGUGCCGAGGAGCCCCAGGCUCCUUAGCCGAGGUAGGGAAAUCGGGAGCGGGGUCCGGGGCCAUCGCCAGGUUGCCGUGGGGAUGCAGGAGCCAGGGCUGGAACACCGCCUGGGCCCCCUGGCCCCACGCGGGUCUUCCGAGCCACCGGAGUCAGAAGACGUCCAUCACGCUGCUCUCGGUGAGACCAUCGUCACUCCCAAACUCCCCCGUUACUUACACGCUUCGGGGGGGCCCCCGAACCCCGAACCCCGGGAACACCUGCGUUUCACUUUUCCUAUAGAGCAGACCGGGUGUCCCACGAUCUAGAUGUCCCAGUGUAAGCUCUCCACGUGGUGUGCACGGGCCCUUCUCCAAGUGGCCAUGGGGAGGGUGGGACAGCGGCAGCCAUCCUGCCCAGGGGAGGUGGACCUACGCUGCCCCCAGCCCGGCUGUGGCCACGCCCUGGGCACUGGGCUUCGGAUGCUUCCGUCUGGGGAAGCCCGAGGGCCAGUUGGGAGGUGGGGCCCGUGGGCAGUGGCCAGACCCAGUUCCCCGCCUCCCCGAGCUGGAGAAGGGCUCUGCCCAAGGUCACUUCCUCUCCCAGCCGCGGGCAUCUCGCCCAGAGCAGCUGCCCAAGCGCUCUGCGCCUGCCACCCCCACACCUUCCGGUCCAGGACUGGCUGCCUCUGGCUUCCUUCUGGUCACCUCCACGGCCAGGCGCAGUGCAGGCCCCUGGCAUCUGCCACCGCUCCCGCUGGCUCCCACGCCCACCUUCCCUCCUCACAGUCCGGCCCCAGACGGCCGAGAGCCACAGACAUAGCAGCCAGGCCUUUCCGGCCCCACCCGCCCACCCACCUCACACCUCCCUCCCUGCAGCCCCGACCCCCAGGCCUGAGCACCCCGACCCCUCACCCUGCCUGGACCCACCCUCCCCCGGAUCCCCACCCGUGACCCCACUCUGCCCAGGACUGAGGGACACUUGGCAUGGCAAGAAGCCACAGAGGCGCCUCAGGCCUGAGUGCCGGACGGCCCCAUGGGGGUGGGGGCAGCCUCCCCCUCCCACUUCAGGAUCAGACUCCAGGGCAGCUGUGGGAGACCAGGAACCUUCCAGAAUGAAAUGCAACCCGCCUGUGGGGUGGAAGCCUUCCUGUCCCUCGGGCGGGCAGUGCUCAAGGAACAGGGCGAUAACUGCUGGAGCCCCAAAGAGUGCUGGGGUGCUGGGGGCGGGAAGGGCAGCGCUGCUCUGGCCCCGGCCAAGGGGUGACCUGGACAAGGCUGCUUCCGCUCCAGACCCCACGCUGUCCCUGUGACCUGGGGAGCAGGGCAGGGCGGCAGAGACCCUGGGUCCGGGACCUCUGGUUUCUGGAGGAGCAGGAGGGGGUGUGGUCACACCGCGACUCCAGGCCCUCAGGGGCCCCCAACACCUGCAUCUGCAUCCUGGCCAGGAAGCCCCUCGGAGCCCAGGCUGGUGGGUCUCGCUGACCUCAGACCCUGCCUUGCGGGAGGCCACCAGGGUGUGAGCCUGGGUCUUCACUGCUUGUCCCCUCGCUCAGCAGAUCUCAGCAGCCCCAGUACCUGGCCGGAUCUGAGAGGGGCUCCGGGGACCCCUCCCCAUCCCCUCCGCCCCGCUCCAGGCCCCACUGGUGCCGGGACACAUGACGACUGAGAGGAGCCUUUGCUGCCAGGAGAGCCCGGGCCCAGGGCAGACAAGGUGUGGACGCGGAGCGGCCACCCGCAUGCAGCCUCCUGGCGUGUGGAGGCGGAGCGUGUGCCAGGCCUGCCUCGGUGCCGUCAGGCCCGGUCGCUCAGAACCCGCACGGCAGCCACUGGGGCCCGUUUUCUAGACGAGGCAAAGGGGCUCGGAGAAGGGACGAGAGCUGCCAGGGCUGGACCCUCAGGCCUGGGCUGGGCCGUGGGGUUCUCACCCGGGCCCCCCACGCCCCCCCGCAGACACGCACCUCCCUGUUCCCGCCCAGGUGUGGUCUCUCUGCCCAGAAGCUGGGCUGGGACCCGGGCCCGCCCCCGCCACCAUGGCCUGUCACUGCUCAUAAAACCUCUUGUUUAUGGGUCGAGCCACCACCCCAGGAGGGCCAGCCAGGUGGCCCUCAGAGGGCGUCCCCAAGCAGUGCUGCAAAGGGGCGGAAGGUGUGGGGAGGCAGUGUGGUGCAGCGGGCAGUCACCUCGCCGGUGGUGGCAGGCUGGGCCACACCCCGCCUACGUGAGCUUGGACAGUGGCUGGACCUCAGGCCGCUGUCCCUCCAGUGCUAGCCCCUGCUGGAUUAGGAGGCCUGGGCAGAGCUGAGCAGACCCUCAUCUAGGCCUCCACGGUCCCUGUACGGUCCUCGGCCCAGCAGAGACCUGUCUCUGAGGCCACCGGCCCGUGCACUGCCCCUCCUAGGCUGCGAAUGAGGGAGAGCAGAGUGUGGCCCAGGUUCUGGCACAUUCCACUGAACAUGCUCAUGGCGUGUCGCGCUGACCCACCAUCAUCCCUGGGACUGCAGUCUCAGUGGUAAGUGGGUGGACGGGCCCUGAGCUGCUGAGACCACUCAGCAGGGCAGUGAGGCCACACACACAGCAGCAGGCCCCAGAUGUCCGGCUCCCACGGGCACAAGGGCGGGUGGGGGGCCCGGCCAGGGUGGCUGAAAGCGGUGAGGGGCCAGCUGCAGCAGCGGGCGUGGGGUCCAGCAGGGGGCGUCCCACUGGGGUGCUCUGUGAGCCCCUCAGCCCAGGCUGCACCAGCUCCAGUGGGUGCCCACCUCCAGCUGGGAGGGCCUUCCAGGGCCUGAGGGCACCCCGGUGUGUGAGGGGGUGCAGGCAGGGGCGCAGGGCCCGCCGACUCAAGGGAAGCGCAGCACCCUGCCCACUGUCUGCUGUCCGUGGGCACGACGGUUCUCCUGUGGGACUCCGGCCACCUCAGCACAGCUCCUGGGCUGGGGCACCGGCUCCGGGGGUGGCAGGUGAGAGACGUGGGGCUGCCGAGGGGGUGCCCCGGGAAGCGGGUGGGAAGGGCAGGACGCGCGGUGGCGAGGGAGGCCGCCUCAUGUGGACUCUGGCCUGCUCUCCACACCUGUGGGCCACACCCUGUCCAGUCCUCUGUUGGGGCCACAGCCAGGGAAAGGGAGACUGUGCAAGCCACGGGGUUGGGGGGGGGGCUCGGGUGGGCAGCAGGAGGGACCUGGGCCACCACAGAAUGCCGCUCUGGGCGAAUCCCCGCCACCGGACGAGACCCGAGUGGGUGCGUGUCUGGGGGAGAUGGGCCCCCUCCUCCAGGGAGGCCGCCAGGAGAGCACGAGCCCUUCACUCAGUCCCUUCCUGAGCGGGAGCCCCAGGAAAACAGUUGCAGUGCACAGAAGGUGGGGUUCUCUGUCCCGCCCCCACCCCAGCCCCUGGCUCAGAGGGGGUGCUGAGACCUUGCCUUUCUCAGUCUGGGAGGGUUUGGGGAGGCUCUCGAGGAACCCCUCCCCCUAGCUCGAAGGCACUGCCACCCUCCCUGCCCAGCCUCCUGGGUGACAGGGAGCCCUGCAGAUCCCCGGACCAGGCUGGCCUGGCACAGCUGGGUGGGGAGCGAUGGGCUGGCCACGGGAGAGCAGGGGCGGGGAGCAGGGGGAAGAGGGGAGGAGGCCGGGGGAGGGGAGGCUGAGGAAUUGAAAGUGCAUUCCCGACAGAUGACGUAGCUCUGCAGCCUGGGGGGGGGCGAUGCCCUUCUCUGGAAGGUCCCUGGGAUCCCUCCCUCAGCUCCCCACUUCCCCCCCCCCACAGGGAGGUGGGUGGGGCCAGGCUGGAAGGAAGGAAAAGUCCAGCCUGGGCCCCCCACGCUGGCUCUGCUCAGAUGCCACCUCCUCCCUGAAGCCGCCUUCCUUCCAUCCCUCCUGGGGGACCUGGGGUGCCUUUGGGGAGCCUGGCUUCGUCCCGUCAGACGUGGGCUGGCCCGGGAACUCGUGGGCAGGGCCUAGGGGGCCCAGCAGACACCUGCUGAGUGCCAGAGCUCCAAGGCAGGGCCCCAGGGCUGUCGGCUGUCGCUGGCUGGUGUUGGGGCCCUGGGGAGGCAUGGCGGGGUGGGGUUCCCCAGCACCACCCCCCCAGGCUGCCAGGGCCUCUGAGGGGACUCGGCCGGGCUUUGCUGUGGACUAGGCAGGCACUGGAUGUCUCCAUGCUCCCUGUGCACCAGGCAUUUUUCUAGGUGCUUCUGUGACUCCCCAUUCACGCCUCCGACCCCUUUCUGUGGGACCGCCACCCGGUUUCUCAGCUGAGGCUCAGUGGGUGCCGUGCGUGCCCCCCCGCUGGGUGCUGAGGCUGCCCUCGGCUGGGCAGCAGGCAGGCCCGGUGUGCAGGGCGCUCCCUCCUCAGACCCAGGCUGGUGGCAGGUGAACCGGGGUCCUGGAGACAGGGACAGUGGUUCUGGGGGGACCUUCGGGAAGGUGAUAAGCCAGGCCUCUGUCCCUACGUCCACUACCAGAGGAAUGCGCCCCCUUCAGUGAACAAGGCCUUGCCCAGGCCUGAGUCAGCUUCCUCCCCAGUCUGGACGACUCGGCCACUUGGGGGAGGCCGUGUGGCUCCUGACCCUGGGACUCGUCCUCAGAGGCCGAGGGGACGCUGUACUUCCCUGUACGCCCUCACCAGGGCACCUCGGCGAGGGAGCUCGUGUACCCCUGGCGAACACCCUUGAGUCGAGGGGCAGCAAGUUCCAAAGGUGCCCGUCAGGCCUCGGCGGCCCCACCGACAAAGCCACCAGUUACGCCACUUCAGACUUCCCGACAGAAACAGAGAUCAUCAGUCUUUGUUGCUGUUUUAAUUUCUCAGUCUCGGGAUGACUUGUUAUGCAGCGGUCGCCUCUGGAGACGGGGCCCAGAGUGGUUCUAUAACUCACCCGCGGAACAUGCCAGAAAGAGGUGGAGCCUGGGAUGGGACCCAGUCACCCGGGCACCGAGCUGCUCUCUUCCAGGGUCCCGCUGCCGGGCUGGGGUUCUGGGAUCUUCGUUAGGCACCUUGCAACCCCGAGGCCUCAGCCUGGCCGCACCGAGCUGCUUCAUGAGGGGGUGCGGGGGAAGGAGCUGCAGAGUCAGAGGUCCCGUGGCUCUGUGGGCCUCCGACUUCCAGGACCUCAUAGGAGGCAGGGCGGGGCAGGCCUGGGCCCUGGCUGGCCCCGGGCCUCGCCAGCAGAAGCAUCUAGACUUCCGAUGGCUGCGUCUGCUUCUGCCCACGUUCGCUUUGCCGGAGGAGGCUGGUGCAGAGUGCAGAAUUAUUUAUAACGUGUUAUCUGCAGGAACAAUGCUUUGUAACUUGGGGCGGGCCCAAGACUUGUGAAGGGUGGUGCUGCCAGGACCCAGGCCACCACCUCCCAGGCCCUGCACACGAGGCUGGAGCUCUUCCAGCAUCUUCUGGUGGCUUCCUUGUCACAGAGCCAUUAGGGUGACUCUGGAGCAGAGAAGGACCUGGGCUGAACAGUCACUGUCCUGUUGAGCACAGACCCCAGGGCAAGGGGACAGUCGUCCUGUGGGACGGGGUGGGGCUGGGACCUGGAUGGUGGUGUUGAGAUGGGGACCGGUCAGGUUUCAGAGACCCUUCGAGGGUUCCGUCAACAAGACGUCCGGGCAGGCGGGAGGAACGUGUGCGACAAGGUCCGGGUCGGCUCUGAGACCACUGCUCUGUGCCCCCAGGUGGACGGGGUCUCUGGCUGGCUUGCAGAAGGCCUGGGGCCGUCAUGGCCGUGCUCGGGCUGACCUGGGCAUCCACUGGGGGGGUGGUGCUGAGUGGGUGGUUAGCUUUGGGGGUCUGGGGUUCAGGACAGAGAGCCAGGCUCGACUCACCAGCCUGGAGGUGGCAUGCAGCUGUGAGACUGUGUCGGCCUGCCGGGGACGGAGCAGGCGGUAGGAGCCGGCCCUGGGCUCGCCAGAGAGAGGGGGCCGCUGGGAGACGAGGAGCUAGCAAAGCGGACGAGACCGGGCAGCCCGGGGGACGCAGCAAAUCAGGAGUGGGGUGUCCUGGAAGCCAGCGAGGGCAGCGUGUCCAAGAGGGGACGUGGCACCGGGCCCCAUGCUGCUGUUAGGUCCAUCGGAGACCUGACUGACCAGUGCCACAGUCUCACGAGCCCCUGGGGGGCUCGACAAUGGGCUGGGGUGUGGGUUGGACACAGGAGUGGGCAUCUGGCCCUUCCUGGCCACGGACAGCCUUCCGAGGAAGAGCUCCGGUCUUGGGCCAGAGCCACCGAGAAUGGGGCUCUUUCUCACUCCGUGUGGAUGAGGAAGCCUAAGCCACUUCCUGUCACCAUGGGGGACUUGGCUGGAAGAGGACGUUGCAGUAGACAGGACCACUGAGACGGAGCGGGACGCUUGAUCAGACCGCUCCUGAGGCCGUGUGCAUGGGCCGGCCAGGCCGAGAGGCGGGCGAGCCGCUUGUCCGUGUGUGUGUGUGUGUGUGUGUGUGUGUGUGUGUGUGUGUGUGUCCACCGCACCUCCGAGGGGUCGCGGCACGAGGGCAGGGUCAGUGCGGUUCACAUGUGUCUCCGGUGCUGAGCACAGGGCGCACACGCGGUCCAGCGGGCACCCGAUAAGUGUUUGUCGUCGAAUGAGUGCGUCUUAGGCACCGUCAAAGCGGGAGAGACAGGCUGAGUGAUAAACUCGCCCAGGGUUUCAGCCAGCAGGUCUGGAAGUGACUCUCCUGUAGAUCGAGGCAGGGUCGCGGGUGCUGGGCAGUUCUGUCUUGGAUUUCUUGGGAUGAGGGGCGCCCCAUGACCUUGGCAGCACUGAGGGGUCUGGAGGGUCAACAGGAGCUGCUGGCACAGGGCAGAGGGUGGCCCCGUGGGGCUGUCCCCCAGCCCGACAGGCAUGGCCGUGUUCCCUGCCCCACCUGGCCCUGCCUGCGCCCCUGUGCAAGGCCCUCGGGGUACGGCAGAGGCGCCCGCUGUCUGCCCGCCGUGGCGCGGUGUCUGCACAAACGUCGCUGCGGGCAGCCGUGUCUUUAACGAGACGGGCGAGCACGGUCUACCCUCGGCCUGCGCCCGGCUCUGUGCUGAGCACCUUUGGCGUCACUUGGAGUGACCCAGCGGGCAGCUGCCCCCACCCUGUCAGUCCCCUGCUGGCUUCGAGGCUCGGAGAGGCGAGGCAGCUAGCCAAGGGCUGCACGGCCAGCAGGUGGUGGCGCUGUCCCCACAGCCGGAACUGGUUCCUCUGGGCCUCGGCCUGCCCUCCUUGUCAGCGCCCCUGUGACGCCCAGGGGUGGGUGCACAGUAGGUGCUCAGGCACCUGAGGCCCUUGUGCUGUCCCCAGGGGGAAGCACCUGGCUGCAGAGAAGCUGUGGGCCUCUCCCACACACCUGGAGGUGGCCCUCAGGUCACAGCAGGACAAGGGGAAGGUUAUCUGACAGGACUUUGCUCUCCUGCUGAGAAAAACACUUCUCCAGAGUCACAAGCAAGGAGGUUUUCCAAGUUCACUCUCCGCUUGGCCCGAACCCUCCCUGCCCCCUCCGCCUGUCGAAAGGGCAGAUUGCGUGUCCCCAGGGAGGAAGGGGCUGCAGGGUCCCCCAGAGCAGAGUGAGCCCGCGCGCGGUGCCCGCCCCUGCUCUGACUGGCCAGGCUCGUGGUGGGGGGCUGAGGGCAACCCGACAAGUCCUAGACUUGGGGUCCAGCCUGGCCCAUCGGAGCUCCGUGCCCCCCACCCCAGGCCCGUGACAUGCAGCCCUGACGCUCUGAAAAGUGUGGGUCCGGGUGGGAGUGAGGGGGCCGCUGCGUGUCCCCUGCGGAGAGAGCAGAGGCGAAGGCUGAGGGCCCAGCGUCCUGAGGCCGCUCGCCCUGGAGCCCAGCAGCCACGCGACCGGCCACGCACCCUGGAGCCCAGCAUCCUGAGGCCGCGCACCCUGGAGCCCAGGAUCCUGAGGCCGCGCACCCUGGAGCCCAGCAGCCACGCGACCGGCACCCGCCCCCGCUUCCUCGGGCCGCUUUGCGCUGGGCCCUUGUCACAGCAGCCAGGAGUCCUGACGCCUACGGAACUGCAAGGUGGAGGUGGCUCUGACCGUUUCUCUGCGUGACGGGGGCUGCGGGUCCCCCUGCCCGGCUUCCUCCGCCUGACCCUCUGAGCCCGCGGACGUGGGCAUUUGGGGGCCUAUCUGAGGUCACGUCCCCACACGCUUAGCACGGUGCCACUCACACAGGACACGCAUCUGUCGAAGGGCCACCGAGCCGUGAGGUUCCCUGAGGGGCCCCAUCUCCAUUCUGCUUGGGCUCCCCGGAGGGGAGCAGUCACGGCCACAAAUGCGGGCGCACUGGGGGGCGUCGCUCUGCCUCCUACUCAUCUCCCCACCCCUUUAUCUCCCGCCCCCUCCCCUGCCUGGCUCUGCUCCCCUUCUUCUCCGUGCUGCUCUCCCAUUCAGUGUCCCCCCACCCUCCUCCCUUCCCCGUCUCCUGCCCCACCCCCCAGGCCUGGCCUCAGGGAGCCACAGUCCAUCCCCAGAAGGUGGUGGCUUCCCCGGGCGGAGCCCACUGAGGCCCGUCGUUGCCUGUGCCCUGCCGGCUCCCGGGGUGGGGGCACCUGAGCAGCACAUCAUGGACUCCCGGACACCAAGUGAGAAGAAGCUGGCCUGGCGGCCACGCUCUGACCGCUGCGGAUGGCACUUGGAGGACGUGAGCGCCCGGGCUCGGCCUGGGGCUGCUGGGCAUGAGCGCAUGGAGCAAUGUCACUGUCCACACGAAGGCACCGUCUUCCCAGCCGAUGGCUGAGUGGACACGGGGCCCGAGCACGGGAGAAGGGUGGACGGACGUGUCUGAUCACGCCAGCUGGCUCCUGCCCCAGGGUCUUUGUGCAUGCUGUUACUGCUACCUGCAAAGCUACAUCCAGGUCUUCCCCAAAUCGGCCCCGUGUCACAUAGGCCUUCCUGACCACCCCGGAGCCCUCACCUGACAGCACUCGCUCAUCGUUUCCCGAGGCCGUGGGCGCCAUCCUGUGCAGUCCCCCAGUGCUCCGCACAGUGCCUGGCACAUGUGUUUGUUCAAUGAACGAGUGACUACUUCUUGAAGCGCCCUCCGAGCUGGCCGUUACGCAGGGAAGGUGGCCCAGCGCUAAACGGCCUGCUUGCGGUCACACAGCGGGGAGGCUGGGCAUUACAGAGUAGGAACUGACCCCUGGCCCGCUGGUCUCCAGGGCUCUGCUGCCUUCUGGGAGGAGGCAGCAUCCCCCUCCGCCCCGAACUCACCUGGUGAGCCCUGCCACGUAGAUGUGAACUCUGGGUGUCUAUACUAGCCUUGUCCAGCAGAAAAACAAUUUGAGCCACACAUGGCAUUUAAAGUUUUCUAGUAGCCACAUUUAACAAAGGAAAAGCAAACAGGUGAAAUGAAUUAUCAUCACAUAGUUUAAUCGACAUAUCAAAUGUUGUCAUUCCGACAUGAUUAAUUGAUAUAAAAAUUACUAAUGAGAAAUGUUAGGCUCUUCACUUCCACACAAAGUCCUCUAAGACUGUGUGUGACUUAACCAUCCAGCACGUCCCAGUUCCGACCGGCCACAUCUCCAAUGCCUGAUGGCCACCCGGGGCUCAUGGCUCCCGGACUGGACAGCCCAGGUCUGGCCUUCGAUUCUUGAAGCUACCGAGUGUCCGACGAUGUAGGUUUUCACACACAAAAUAUUAAAACAUUGAUUGUGGGCUCACAUGCUAUUUUAAACUUCAUUUCCAGCUGCAUAUUUAGAAAAGAAAAUAAAAUCAUUUAAUAGGGAGUUUAAAAAAACGCUGAGCUCGACCUCCCUGCCUCUUGGCUGUCUUCUCCCUUUCUGGGGAGCCUGAACUGGAAAGGCUUGAUCCCCAGCUACUGGGGGCCUGGGGCGCCGUAAGGUAAUGACUUAAUGAGCCCCUGUCUGGGCACUUUUGAUCUUCAGGGAGCAGUGCCCACCUGGCUGAGGCUGCUCCAGGGUUAAUUGCCCUGAUCCAGGAAAGCCUUGCCCAGAGAUAAAGGACUGCAGGGCUCCAUCGUGACAAAUUGUUUUGCGAUCUGCUCCGGCACCAGUGGAGGCCCAGGUGUGGACGGUCAGCGGGCCCCCACCCCUAGGACCCUGGCGUGGGCAGAUGGGCAGCGGGCUCUGCAGGUGUGUGUGUGUGUGUGUGUGUGUGUGCGCAAACACGUGUGCAUGCUGUCUCUCCUGGGCAGGACGGAGACUCUCUGUUGGGGAGGCAGCUCUGCAAGGGGGGAGGGAUGAUCCACCUCCAUUUUCCGGAUGAGAGAACUGAGACUUGGAGCGGUCUAGGGACAAACCACACCAACAAGGUCAGGGUCAAGGGGCACAUGGCAGCCAGGCCUGGCGUGCCCCUCCCCGUCCCUCUGCACUUUGGGACUGGGGAUCGGGUGUGGGCUCCAAUCUUGCUGCCUUUAUCGCUGGUGGCCACAUCAUCCUCACACAUUCGUCUGUGACCUGCGGGACAAGUGCCACCUAAUUCCAUCCUGUGCCUCAACAGAGCAUGUGCGCAGCGGCCCCAGCCUGUCUUCACUGCUGGGACUGAGGGCAUCCGAAUGCUCCGUCUAAGAAAUGGGGGCGGGACGUAUCUUCACUGCCGGGGUCUGUGUGAGUGACACGAAAUUGCAUGAGGCCGAGAUGACUCCCACGGUGAAGUAACAGUGUGGAGUGCCAGCUGGUGCCAAGCCCCUGGCGGAGUUUGAACGGGGUGAGCUGGCGUGUAGGGUGAAUGCUGGCUGCACACCACACAGGGCGCUGGGCUCUUUGACAGGCCCCCUCCCUCCUCCGAGGGAAGGACAAGGCCCUUCCUGCUCCUCCCCAGGCCGGAGGGAAGCAGUCACCUCAGCUGCGUCUAUUUGGAACACCUGACUCACGUAAUUACGGGCCUGCGGGCACGUGGGGGCGCCCGGGACGCCGGAGAUGGCCCGGAAGCACCGGCUCCGGCUCCGGCUCUGGGGGCGACUGGCCCUCCCCGCCGCCAGGUGCACCGUCACCUCCCACGAGCACCCCUUCAGCCGGGAGAUUCCCCUGCGCCCCCUUCUUCCGCCGCGGCCUCGGGCUGGCCUGCGGGGCCCGUGCUCGCCGCCUGAGGUCUUCACGCGCGGAACCGGAGUGGGCGUGGCCGCCUGGGUCCCGCGGCGGAGCCCCGAACGCCGUGCCUGCGCCUCCUGACUCAAGUAUAUUUAGCCUCAUUAUCGAAUGUUUGCAGUGAACCGUGUGAACCUAAUAGCGGCUGGAAGUGAAACUCGAUUCCCAGGCAGAAAGCAGCACGUGACCGCGCCUAAGCAGGGGGAUCGCCCUGCCGGCGGGGCGCGGCGGUGCCCCCAGAGGCCUGGCCCCGCGCGGAAGGCCACCUCUUGCAGGGAGCAUCCUGCACCCACCUCCUCCCGCCGCCCCUUCUCUGGAGGCCGAAAUGAGGGCGGUGCUGAGAGGGACCAGGGCCCGGGAGGGGUCCACGCAGGAGUGGUUCUCAUCCCAGCUGGUGACCUCCUGGUCAAGGCAGUCCCACGGUCUCCAUUCCCAGAUCUCGGAAGCAGAGCUUCUGCCAGUUUUUCUCCGAGGACGGGGAAGAGUGGGGCGAGCUGGGUUUGGGGGGCCCUGUCCCACCCCGGGCGGGCCCGGGUGCUCUAACGCGCGUGGUGCGCCCAGUUCCCCCACGGAGGCUCUGCGCCCUUGCAGAAGUUUUUGCCACCCUCGCGCGGCCGCUGUUGUCGUGGUCGCUAUGACGACGCGCCGAGGUUUUAUUUUUAAUAGCGGCCGGCGAUUAGAGAGAGGGAGGCCUGCGCGCUUCCCAGCGCUCUCCAGUCCUGGGGCGGGGGUGUGCCGGAGCUGCCCCUGCUCCCCGCCCUUGCUCUGGCCUGAGACUCCAGUCGGAGGCCCCCCUUUCGCAUCCCCAGAUCUCCCCUGGCCUCAAACUCGAACUGGGCGGCCCUAAAGUGCCAGACUGGGAAGGGGCACAGUCGGAAGCACCCAUCUGGGCUGCUCAGUGGUGGCAAGGACCCCCAGGAGUCAGGGACCUUCUGUGCAGAGCUUGGAGCCAGAAGGGCCCCACCUCCUCUGAAAUACAAGCGACCUUUCCUCCUUCGUUCCCACACCUGCUAUCAAAUUGAGUUCUUUAACCCCAAAAAAGUGUCUUUGCGUCCCCUCUGCCCGAGAGGAAUCCGAGGCCCGACGGGGUGAUUCAGUCAACUCUGGGAUAAGUUGGGGACAGCUUGGACUGAGUCCAGAGUCCUGGCAGUGAGCAGUCGGGCUGCCUUCCAGAAACUACCAGUGGUCCCUCUUGGAAGCAAUAGAAGGUUCCACCUGGACGGACAAGGACUGGCUUUCAGGGCUUCCAAACGUCUCCACGCUUUCCCUGGUUCGUUCUCCCUCGGCCCUCCACUCUGAACUGCCCGCACUGCGCUUGCGUGCCGUGGUCGCAGCGGCGUGGGAAGGCUGCAGGUGUGGAGGCCUAUGGAAAGGCGGGGCAGACCUGGGCCUCUGGGAACCGCAUGAGAAGCUCCCCACCACUCCCGCCUACCUCCAGGUAUUUGGGGGAGUGAGCGCCCCGAGGCCCCUCCGAGCUGGCCUUUGAAAUGCCAGACGGCCCCACCAAGGAUGAAAGGCCGCCAGCCGGGCUGCGCCUGUACUGCCUCUGUCCAGCGGGGCCGUUGGGGGUGGUUGGCGCAGGCGGGCGUUAUUCUCCUCUGCCACCCCCGCCCCCACCGGGGAGUCUCCUGGCCUCCAGGGGCUUCGGCCGUCUAACAUUGGGCUCCCUGGCCCGCCACGCCCCUAGCUCUGGUACCAGAACUCGUCCGCCCCCUCGAGGCACCGACACUGGCGGGCGACAGGGCCCUAAGCCCGGGUCCUAUCCCACCUGGUCUAGGGGGGCGGAAUCCACCCAGCCCGGGUGCACCCGCCCUUUGGUGGCGAGGGAGCCGUCCAGCUGAGCUCAGGCCUCCCGCUCCCCGCGCGUCCUGCCCCCGCAUCGCGCUCUGUGCCGCGCCUCGGCCGCAGGCGGCGCUCUGUGCGCCCGGCGGAUCCCGACACCGCAGGCUCCCACUCCGAGUGCCUCACGGGCGGCUCCUCUGUCUCUUCCAAACCCUUUGAGUUCCCGGCUCAGGCCGCAGACCGGCCUUCCACGAGGGAGUGGGGACGCGGGGGACGCGGGGUCCCAGGGUGGGGACGAGGCACGCUGCAGCCCCCUCCUCCGAUCUGGGCUCUCUCCCAUCGGAAUGUGGGUGGAGGUUCCAAAUUCAGACGCCCCAGGCAUCGGAUUGUGGGCGGGGGCGCGUGGCAGCCGCCAGGUGAGUGCCCCAGACUCGCCCCUAAACCCGCCCCACCUCUCACCAGAGACUCACUCCCCCUCCUUUUAUGGAGAGGGGGAGGCAGGGGCCCUGAAUCCCGACCGCGGAAAGAGGCCCAAGCGCCGCGGCGGGGGGCGGGGGCGGCCUGCUUUUGCCCUUUUUGGCGUCGCAGCUCUGGGCGCUGCCCUC